CAAAACAGCACCAACACUUAAGUCUUCAAAGCAGACAAUGCUCCUCUUGAAGUCAGGUUUAUCAAAAUCUGUUCGGAUGUCAAAGCCCUCAGGCUGAGUCAGACCAUCAAUGAUUAGCUGCAGUGUGUGCACCGUUGUAUUUAACCUUUUGGCUGUCCCUUCCAGUCCUUCCUUUUGAAUUACUGCAUUUACUUUCUGCUGCAUAUCUGAUUUUCCUAUUUCAUUUGUGUUUCCUCCAAUGAAGGAUAAAAAUCUCAUUGCAAUGCUGUAAGACUCUGGAUGGAUACAAGUUUGGUCCAAAGGAUUGGGUAGGUAUGAGGCACUUGGUGUUGGCUUGCUCUUCUUUUUACCUUGUUUCUCAUUGGUGAGUUGUGUACGUGCUUUAGCGAAAAGUGCAUGACUUCCAAGCUGAGUUUUCUUAUUACUGCAGAAAGUCUUUAUGUAGUCUUGAUUGAAUCUGAUGAAGCCAGCACACUGUUGGAAAGUUUUGGGACCCAAACCUUUAACUUCCUUGAGCUGUUCUCGAUUUAUAAAUGGUCCAUUCUUCUCUCGCCAUUCAAUAAUGUUUCUAGCCCUGGUGGCAUUCAGUCCUGCAAUAUGUCUGAGAGUAAAGUUUACAAAAUACAUUUUCACCAUUGAAUAGUCAUUAACACAAGUCUUAUCCAUUACAAGUACAUACAUAACAGUAGAAAAUUCGGUUUAAAAAAGCUACAAAAACUAAACACAGCUAAGAACAAAGGAACAGUCUGAAAAAGGAUCUUUUCUCUGAAUUCUGUGGAAGGAAUCCUCUCAAGUCAACAAAACUUUGUACAGCAGUGAGGUUCUGCACAUGCCUAACUAGUAAG
rnacentral:lncRNA from 1 species